rnacentral:tRNA from 2 species
GCGCCCGUAGCUCAAUGGAUAGAGCGCUUGCCUCCGGAGCAAGAGGUUGGAGGUUCGAGUCCUCUCGGGCGUA